rnacentral:rRNA from 1 species
AUUGAACGCUGGCGGCAGGCCUAACACAUGCAAGUCGAACGGUAACAGGAAGAAGCUUGCUUCUUUGCUGCCGAGUGGCGGACGGGUGAGUCAUGUCUGGGAAACUGCCUGAUGGAGGGGGAUAACUACUGGAAACGGUAGCUAAUACCGCAUAACGUCGCAAGACCAAAGAGGGGGACCUUCGGGCCUCUUGCCAUCGGAUGUGCCCAGAUGGGAUUAGCUAGUAGGUGGGGUAACGGCUCACCUAGGCGACGAUCCCUAGCUGGUCUGAGAGGAUGACCAGCCACACUGGAACUGAGACACGGUCCAGACUCCUACGGGAGGCAGCAGUGGGGAAUAUUGCACAAUGGGCGCAAGCCUGAUGCAGCCAUGCCGCGUGUAUGAAGAAGGCCUUCGGGUUGUAAAGUACUUUCAGCGGGGAGGAAGGGAGUAAAGUUAAUACCUUUGCUCAUUGACGUUACCCGCAGAAGAAGCACCGGCUAACUCCGUG